rnacentral:rRNA from 1 species
UCAUUUUGGAAUCUUAUGUCUCACAAGCAGGCAUCGAGCUGUGUCAGUAUUUGGAUGGUAGACCUCAGAGGAACACUAAGCGGCUGAAGGAA